rnacentral:lncRNA from 1 species
CGAAGAACANACUGGUGUAAAGCUGAAGAGAAGUAAAAACCACUCUUUCACAUAAACAACUAGAAGAAAAAACCGAUUUCAUAACAAAAAUAAGCACUGUUAUAUAGAAGUUCGCUACCUCAAUAUCAAGGGCCGAAUCGGCCCUUUUUACAACCACCAAAGGCUUGAGCUAUAUUUAAUUGGCGUUGAGAUCUGUGAAUUCAAAUGGUGGUUUUCGGGGAAUUUUUCGGCAGCGCAUUGGCGGCGCAACCCAGAAAUUGCUGCUGCAGUACAGAUGCCUAUACAGUAUAUGCUAGAAAUCUCCCGACAAAGUUAAAUUCUCUUCACCAAUUCCAAGGGUUCCCGCAAAGCACAUUGAAAAUUUCAGUUUUAAUUCUAACAUGGAUAAGGUUAAUUCAAGAAACCAAACAUGGAAGAACAUGAUACUUCAAUACAGGCAAUUCAAGAAUAGAAAAAAUAUGGGGAAUCCAAAAAAGGGCGAUUUUGUUAUGCAUGUUAGAUCAUAAUUGAGAAAGAAUAACUUUUGAAAAUCAUUGAUGGGUUUUUCAUAUUUGCAAUAAUAAAAAUAAUAACGGGUAGUUAAAGCAAUUAUUGAAAAUAUUAAUGGCAGGCAAUACAGUAAAGCAGACAACAAUGCAGGGGAAGAUGCAAAAUACAGGCUGUGCAGUAGUUGUGUUUACAACCCUAUGGGAUAAAAGAGACUGCCCGCUGCCAUUUUCAGCCUACUUGUCCUGGUCCAGUGUCUCUGUGUAGUGUGUAGUAUAGCUGUUGCCUAUUUUUAGAGAGAGGAAGAUGGAGAGGAUUCCUAUUUGAAGAAAAAUAAUAAAUAAAAAGGAUAAAUAAAAGGGCCGAAAUUCAAAUAUACUUUUGCAUGAAUUUGUUUAGGAUUUA